AACGUAGGUUCCGAGCGUUAUCCGGAUUUACUGGGCGUAAAGCGUGCGCAGGCGGCUCCUUAAGUCAGAUGUGAAAUCCCCGGGCUUAACCUGGGAACUGCGUUUGAAACUGAGGAGCUAGAGUGUGGAAGAGGGGGGUGGAAUUCCAGGUGUAGCAGUGAAAUGCGUAGAGAUCUGGAGGAACACCGAUGGCGAAGGCAGCCCCCUGGGCUAACACUGACGCUCAUGCACGAAAGCGUGGGGAGCAAACAGG
rnacentral:rRNA from 1 species